AAGAAAGUGACAGAGUGGUUAUGUGACUGGCUUGAAACCAGUAG
rnacentral:tRNA from 1 species